rnacentral:rRNA from 1 species
AUUGAACGAUGGCGGCAGGCCUAACACAUGCAAGUCGGACGAGUGGCGGACGGGUGAGUACUGUCUGAGAAACUGCCCGAUGGAGGGGGAUAACUACUGGAAACGGUAGCUAAUACCGCAUACCAUCGGAUGUGCCCCUAUGGGAUUAGCUAGUAGGUGGGGUAAUGGCUCACCUAGGCGACGAUCCCUACCUGGUCUGAGAGGAUGACCAGCAACACUGGAACUGCGACACGGUCCAGACUCCUACGGGAGGCAGCAGUGGGGAAUAUUGCACAAUGGGCGCAAGCCUGAUGCAGCCAUGCCGCGUGUAUGAAGAAGGCCUUCGGGUUGUAAAGUACUUUCAGCGAGGAGGCGUUAAUCGCAGAAGAAGCACCGGCUAACUCCGUGCCAGCAGCCGCGGUAAUUC